rnacentral:rRNA from 1 species
AACGAACGCUGGCGGCAGGCUUAACACAUGCAAGUCGAGCGCACCGCGAGGGGUUGGUCCUGGGGGUGGGUAACGCGGGGGGACGUACCCCUAUCUUUGUGCUAGCUCCGGGAAACUGGAAUUAAGACACGAGGUGUACUUUGGCGGAAAGAUUGAGCGGAUAAGGAUCGGGUCGUGGUGGAUUAGCUAGUUGGUGGGGUAAAGGCCUCCCAAGGCGAUGAUCCAUAGCUGGGCUGAGAGAAUGAUCCGCCACAUUGGGGCUGAGGCACAGGCCAAAAUCUUACGGGAGGGAGGAGAGGCGAAUAUUGGCCUACGGGCGCUAGCCUGAACCAGCCAUGCCGGGAAAGUGAUGAAGGCCUUAGGGUUGUGAAGUUCUUUCACCGGAGAAGAUAAUGACGGUAUCCGGAGAAGAAGCCCCGGCUAACUUCGUG